AUACGGAGGAUCCGAGCGUUAUCCGGAUUUAUUGGGUUUAAAGGGUGCGCAGGCGGCCAUUUAAGUCAGCGGUUAAAUCGUGGGGCUCAACCCCAUUCUGCCGUUGAUACUGGGUGGCUGGAUUGCGGUCGAGGUUGGCGGAAUUCGUUGUGUAGCGGUGAAAUGCAUAGAUAUGACGAAGAACACCGAUUGCGUAGGCAGCUGACCAGACCGCAAAUGACGCUCAUGCACGAAAGUGCGGGGAUCGAACAGGAUUAGAUACCCUGGUAGUCCGCACAGUAAACGAUGAAUACUUGUUUUCGGCGAUAUAAUGUCGGAGGCAAAGCGAAAGCGAUAAGUAUUCCACCUGGCUAGUACGCCAGCAACGGUGAAACUCAAAUGAAUUGGCGGGG
rnacentral:rRNA from 1 species